UCCCGGUGUCUGCCUGUCAGCGCGGAGCAGGAGCAUUCGGUGCGGCUCCAGGAAACUGAGCGGGGCCGAGCGCAGCCUGAGCAACAGCGAUAAAGGCAAAAAACUGCGGAUGCUGGAAAUCGAGAACAAAAACAAAAAUACCUGGAAAAACUCAGCAGGUCUGACAGCAUCUGCGGAGAGGAACAGAGUUAACGUUUCGAGUCCAUAUGACUCUUCAACAGAACUAAGGAAAAAAAGAAGAGAGCUUCUGGCAAACAAAUCGAUCAAAGACAAGUAGUUGGACGAUGAACCAGACAGAACAGUCCGUGGCUGCAUAAAGUAGGGCAGCAUGUAUAUGGACUUCACAAAAUAAAACUUCACCCAAUAAACAGCAGGAAUUCGUUUCAAUGUCACAUCAAGGAUAACGACCAGAUCAGCCGCUGCCAUGGCCACCAGGUAGUGAGUGACACAUUUGCAGAGUCCACACUUGCCCCGAGACAGGAUCAUAAUCGCCACUAAAUUGACUGUAUGGACCGGGAAUAAAUAUGACAAUUCUACAGGAGUCUGGGAGCAAAAGCAGCAAUUUGAUGGAAUUCAGGAUGAAAUGUGGAACGUUGUGACCGAAUUCAUUGAUGAACCUAAUUAUUAGCCAUGUGACAGCUCUUUCUGCUCUAGACCGAUUUAACUGCAGAACAAUUAGCAAUCAAUUACACAACAUAAAAGAUGAGUGACAGGAAUAAGCUGUGACACAUAAUAGAAUACCAAUUCAUAUGAUAAAUAAUAAAUCAACUGAUAAAAAAUGAAAUGUCCUUUCCAUCUUUGGGGAGAUAUUGCUAAAAGGAAACAACAAAUAAAAAUGGACAGAAAGACCCAGCAUCUGUUCUGGUCUACGUAAGUAAUGAAGUAAGGAAGUGAAAUUCUGCUGAGUUCUUGAUUGAGAGAGGAAUCAGCACAGGUUCCUGCUCCUGAUCUCGACACAAUUAUCCUGAGUUAGAGUGUGAGCGGCCAUUUAGAAAGUCAGAAAAUGAACCAACGAAUAUGUCAAUCGUUAUUAUUGUAGGCAACGGUUCUUGCAAUUUCAAUCUUCUUUUCAAUGGAAACUUCCUGGACUUAUAUAUGAAACGAUAAUAGUCAAAACUGACUGACUUCAAGUAGUGUGAUAAUAUCAUCGGCAUUGUAACUUUUCAGUUGAUCAGACAUGCACCUAUUGAGAUUUAACCCAAUAAAAUUUAUUCUGAAUUAAAGAA